GACAUUUAUAACACGUCUGAUAUGAGAGAUGGGAGGACAUUUAUAACACGUCUGAUAUGAGAGAUGGGAGGACAUUUAUAACAUGUCUGAUAUGAGAGAUGGGAGGACAUUUAUAACACGUCUGAUAUGAGAGAUGGGAGGACAUUUAUAUCACGUCUGAUAUGAGAGAUGGGAGGACAUUUGUAUCACACGUCUGAUAUGAGAGAUGGGAGGACAUUUAUAUCACGUCUGAUAUGAGAGAUGGGAGGACUUUUAUAUCACGUCUGAUAUGAGAGAUGGGAGGACAUUUAUAACACGUCUGAUAUGAGAGAUGGGAGGACAUUUAUAUCACGUCUGAUAUGAGAGAUGUGAGGACAUUUAUAACACACCUCUGAUAUGAG
rnacentral:lncRNA from 1 species